GGGGAUAUAGCUCAAGUGGUAGAGCGCGGGCUUUGCAAGCCCGAGGCUUCCGGUUCGAGUCCGGAUAUCUCCACCA
rnacentral:tRNA from 1 species